AGAGGUCCUUCCGGGAGUCCAGCUGACACAGGUCUCGGCCAGGGCUCUACCUGCGCUCAGGAUUGGAAAAGCUGUGCGCAAUGAGAGGCGCGUUGGUUCUCCGCAACGGGGAGCAGAAACCGGCCUGGGUCAGCCAGUGGACUGGUUGGAAGCAGAGAACUGAAAGAAAACCAACACCCUAGUGAGGCCAAGGGAGAUUUUAAAGGCUGAAGCAGAAGGAUCUCAAGUUCAAGCCAGAUUCCUUAGGGAGCAUUUGCCUCCAUAAAAUAAGUAAGUUUAUUUCUUCUACAGGUCUACCAUCACCGUGGGAAGCCAAAUUAGAGGACACAUUAGAGGAAUGCUGCUUACUGGCUGGCUUUCUGCUUCUGCUCAUCUUGCCUGUACAGCCUAGGCCUGAAUGCCAUGGUGGUACUGCCAUAGUGUCCUUGGCCCUCCUCACCAAUUAAUAGUAACAGUUAUUAGUAGUAUUAUAAUGAACGCCCCAUAAACAUGCCCAUAAGCCAAUUUGAUGGAGGCAAUUUCUUAUUUGAGGUUUCCUUUCUUCCACAUGUGUCAGGUUGACAAGCAAGAAUACUCAUCACGCCAGGCGUGGUGGCGCAUGCCUUUAAUCCCAGCACUCGGGAGGCAGAGUUAACU
rnacentral:lncRNA from 1 species